rnacentral:rRNA from 1 species
GUAGAGGAUGCUAUUGGGUAGCCACCGGUCUAAGUCCCCUGGAACGGGGCGUCGCAGAGGGUGAGAAUCCCGUAUGUGACCGGAAGGGCGCCCUCCACAUAGCUCCUUCGACGAGUCGAGUUGUUUGGGAAUGCAGCUCUAAAUGGGAGGUAAAUUCCUUCUAAAGCUAAAUACCGGCCAGAGACCGAUAGCGCACAAGUAGAGUGAUCGAAAGAUGAAAAGCACUUUGGAAAGAGAGUUAAAAAGCACGUGAAAUUGUUGAAAGGGAAGCGCUUGCAACCAGACUUGUUGGCGGUGUUCCGCCGGUCUUCUGACCGGUGUACUCACCGUCUGCAGGCCAGCAUCAUCUGGGGCCGCCGGAUAAAAGCGGGGGGAAUGUGGCUCUUCCGGGAGUGUUAUAGCCCCUCGUGCAAUACGGCGUGCCUCGGGUGAGGUCCGCGCUUCGGCUAGGAUGCUGGCGUAAUGGUCGUAAGCGGCCCGUCUUGAAACACGGACCAAGGAGUCUAACAUCUAUGCGAGUGUUCGGGUGCCAAACCCCUACGCGUAAUGAAAGUGAACGGAGGUGGGAGCCUUAGGGUGCACCAUCGACCGAUCCUGAUGUCUUCGGAUGGAUUUGAGUAAGAGCAUAGCUGUUGGGACCCGAAAGAUGGUGAACUAUGCCUGGAUAGGGUGAAGCCAGAGGAAACUCUGGUG